rnacentral:rRNA from 1 species
UACGAAGGGUGCAAGCGUUAAUCGGAAUUACUGGGCGUAAAGGGUGCGUAGGCGGUUAGUUAGGUCUGUUGUGAAAUCCCCGGGCUCAACCUGGGAAUGGCAAUGGAUACUGGCUGGCUAGAGUGUGUCAGAGGAUGGUGGAAUUCCCGGUGUAGCGGUGAAAUGCGUAGAGAUCGGGAGGAACAUCAGUGGCGAAGGCGGCCAUCUGGGACAACACUGACGCUGAAGCACGAAAGCGUGGGGAGCAAACAGG